rnacentral:rRNA from 1 species
CCCUUAGAUGUUCUGGGCCGCACGCGCGCUACACUGAUUCAUGCAACAAGUUUUGUCCUUGGCUGAUAGGCCUGGGUAAUCUUUGAACGUGAAUCGUGAUGGGGAUAGAUGAUUGCAAUUAUUCAUCUUCAACGAGGAAUUCCUAGUAAACGCAAGUCAUCAGCUUGCAUUGAUUACGUCCCUGCCCUUUGUACACACCGCCCGUCGCACCUACCGAUUGAAUGGUCCGGUGAAAUCUUCGGAUCUGAGAGAUGUCUGAUUAAUUUCGGACGCCUUUUGGAAAAGUUGUUUAAACCUUACCAUUUAGAGGAAGGGGAAGUCGUAACA